AAAUACCCCUUAAUAGACCCCAAUGCACAAAUGAACGAUUGAUGGCUCACCUAGACAUAUUAGUCUAACAUUUUAUGAAACCCUAAGUAAAUCUGACAAGUAGUUUUGGAGAAAUGCUGCGGACAAGUUCAUUUUUAAAGUGGCGGAAGAAGAAGAGGAAGAAGAGGAAGAAGAGGAAGAAGAAGAAUAAUAAAAAUAAUAAGAACUGAGCAAAAACAAUAAGUCUCCAAACUUUGUUCGAAUAGGUAACGAAUAGGGAAUAGGGAAUAGGUAACGAAUAGGUAACGAAUAGGGAAUAGGGAAUAGGUAACGAAUAGGUAACGAAUAGGGAAUAGGGAAUAGGUAACGAAUAGGGAAUAGGGAAUAGGUAACGAAUAGGUAACGAAUAGGGAAUAGGGAC
rnacentral:lncRNA from 1 species